AUCAAAAACAUCUCUUUUUGAAAAUAAUUUAAAGUUUGAUCUGCUCAAUGAUUAAAAUUAAAUAGCUGCAGUAAUUUAACUGUACUAAGGUAGCAUAAUCAAUAGUUUUUUAAUUGAAAGCUGGAAUGAAGGAUUGAAUGAAAUAAUAAUUGUCUCAAGUUUAAUAAUAUUAGAAUUUUUUUUUUAGUUAAAAAGCUAAAUUGAUUUUAAAAGACGAGAAGACCCUAUAGAUUUUUAUAAUUUAUUUAAAUAAUAAUAAUAAUAAAAUUUAUAAUUAAUUAAUUAAAUUAUUUAAUUGGGGAAAUUAUUAAAUUUAUUAAAUUUUAAUUUUUUUAAAACAAUAAUUAUUGAUUAAGUGAUCUUAAGUAUAGAUAGAAAGAAUAAAAUACCUUAGGGAUAACAGCGUAAUAUUUUUAGAGAGAUCAUAUUAAUAAAAAUGUUUGCGACCUCGAUGUUGAAUUAAAAUAAAAUUAUAAUGAAGAAGUUAUAAAUUUUUGG
rnacentral:rRNA from 1 species